CAAGUUGGAGAGGAAAGGGUUUAUUCAGCUUACACUUCCAUGUUGCUGUUCACCAAAGGAAGUCAGGACUGGAACUCAAGCUGGUCAGGAAGCAGGAGCUGAUGCAGAGACCAUGGAGGGAUGUUUCUUACUGGCUGGCUUCUCCUGGCUUGCUCAGCUUGCUUUCUUAUAGAACCCAAGACUACCAGCCCAGAGAUUGUACCACCCACAAGGGGCCCUUGCCCCUUGAUCACUAAUUGAGAAAAUGCCCAACAUCUGGAUCUCAUGGAGGCAUUUCCCCAACUGAAGCUCCUUUUUCUGUGAUAACUCCAGCCUGUGUCAAGUUGACACACAAAACCAGCCAGGGCAGUGAGUCUGAGUGUAGAGGUGUGACUUCCACAACAAGAAUUUAACUACUUCCCCUGGGUAUGUAGCUCAGUUUGUAGACAACUUGUCUAGGAUGCACAAAGCCCUAGGUUCCAUCCCUAGCACUGCAUAAACAAAGUAUGGUCCCCUGUGACGGCAGUACUUGAGAGGUGAAGACUGACAGAUCAGAAGUUCAAGGUCACUCAGCUACCAUAGUCAAUCCAACUGGGAGACAUGACAGCCUGUCCAAAACAAAACAAAACAAAACACCAACUGACAAAAAACCCAAAGCAACAAACACAGCACCGCAGCAAUAACUCGACAGAAACCUGCCUACACAGAGAAAAGAAGCAGCAAUGGCACUCUGAAAACCAAGGGACGAAAGAAAGCCACACUAACACACACAGUAAGGAGGCCAGGCUUGUUCUCUUGUCUUCUAUAAGCUUCGGGUCACUCAGGAGCUUCAUUUGGCCUAGUCCUACAGAGGACACACAUGUUCUCUGUCUGCUAAUCUAUAGCCCACCUGACAUGGUGGACAAAGAGAGUCCCUUGGUGACCCAUCCAUGUUAGUAAAGUCACCGCUCCCCUGCUCCCAGUUUAUAGAUGGGGAAACUGAGGGUGAAGAGGAUGUGUAUCUAUUGUAUAUACUGCUAUGCUUUGCCUUUGCUUUUUGUUGUUCAAAAGUUUAGGUUAUUUUCAUGCGGUGCUGGGGAUUGAACCAGGACCCCCAGCAAGACUGGUAAAUACUCUAACAACUGAGCUACCUCCUAAGCCCAGAGUUUAAUUUUUAAUAUCUGUAUGCUUUGUACACAUAUUGUUUAAUAUUUUAACAGCAAUGUGAGGUUGCGUGAUCUUUUUGCAUUUAAUAUUUAUGUUUUGAAAGCCAAACAGAGGUGGUUGCUAUAGACCAGGGGCUCCAGAGAACAGCCCAACCAGUGGUUUCACACCUGGGAACUUUUACACAAACAAAGUCCAGCGUCCUAAUAGCCUUAUCUAGGUAAUUCAGACAUUGGCUGGGGAUUCUAUUUUCUUUACAAAACUCCCAAGAUAUUGAGGAUAUCUGGGUGACAAGAAAAGACGACGUUUGGAGACAGGACCCCAGAAAUGUUUUCAUUUCACGGCCUAAAAAGGAGAAUAACAAUCUCUGACGCAGCUACUGAAAAAUCAGGGUUUCCAGGGACAGUUAUGUGCUAACUAAUAAAAGAGCAACAGCAGUGACUACUGUGCCCCAGGGAAGUUCUUUGAAGUUAGUUAGCUGGAGCCGUGAUUUGAAUCCUGGUUGUCUCUGAUUUGUUUGUAUAGGAGCAAAACCCCACCUUUAGUUACUAUUAAAGGUUAGCAUAGCUUUAAACUCUUCUAUAUUUUCAUUAGGCAUUUGGCAUAUGCUACUAUCUGUCUCUACCCAACUGUAGACAGUGCAGCCAUUUGGGGGAUGGCUCUAUGUUCUUUAUGUCCUUACCCCCAGGGCAGUUUCACUGAACUGAGAGGUGGGAGUCAGCAGGUUGCUAGGGCUGUGCUGAGGACAGAGAAUUAAAAGUGUCCUGGACCCAGAGAAGGCCUAGGAUGCAAAGAAAGAGAUGCAUCAGGUGCUACCACCAGGAGAGAAAGUUGACAAACCUGUAGUUUUGCCAGCUAAGAGGUGACAAAGGGGAUCAACACACGGGAAGACCCUGGGAGAGUUCCUCUGGGAAUUAGCCUUGGGAAGGAGAGACAACGGUUCCUCUGAAUUUUAGAAAAACAAGCACUGGCAGAGACACAGCAAGGGUUUCUCAGGGGUGGGGGGUGGGGUGGGGGGGGGGAGCGACGCAGGCAAAAGGAAGAGCAAGGGGGCGGGGAGACCGGUUAAUGAAGUUUCUUCCAGCCUUCACUGGUGAAAGCCCAGGAUCUGAAAAUUCACUCCAGGAUCCUGGAGAUUUACACAGGGCUGAGAACUUAAAAAACGAAAACAACAACAACAACAACAACAACAACAACAAAAACUAUUAUCUGCAUGGUUCCUUUUUAAAUGGGGAGUGGGGUUCAUUUAAUACGCAAAAAAGAAAUCAAAAUGAUAGAACGGAUAUAGUCUCUGAAUAAAUCUACUCUGCUUUAUCACUAACUCAUUUUGCUGUUCUUGUUUUUCUCAUUUCGCCAGGAAGGAUGAUUCCUUCCUCCGGACCAGUGCGUGGGGAGCGCGGCUCCAAGCCGCCCACGCUGGCAGCCGCUUGCUAUCAUCGCGGGGUAUGCGCGGAGCCUGACACCCCCGCUGGAGCCUAGAGCCGCUCCUGCGCCUCGACACCCUGCUCCGGGCUAAGAUCCCGCCAGCCGGGCAGAGCAGGAACCGACUUCCAGGUGCAAGUCUGCCAGUCCGAUUCGGGACAAACCAGGUCACCCACUGAGGGUCGGCUGGACACACCGCGGCAGCGCGGGGCCGGCACGGCCUUUCCUUGGUUCUAGCGCCCACCUGCACCGCGAAGUGAUAGUCCGAGGAUCUCGGUGCCCACACACCCUCCUCCCAUCGUUCUGUCCCGCAGGUGUUAGGAUGCCCGCGCCUGAGCUCUGACCCUGGAUAUCCGAGGCCAUGGGUACCCCGGGUCCCGGAUGCCUGCGGAUGCUGGUGCGUGAAUUCACGCUGGUAGCUCUGGGCGCUCACGCCCGCAUCUUCUUUGAGCACGCGCGGUAGCGGCGCCCACGCGGAGCCAACCCGAGGUACCGGGAGAAGCUCAUCUUCCCAGCACGCGCCUUACCUGUCGUAGCUCCAGCGG
rnacentral:lncRNA from 1 species